GACAGAGGGUGCAAACGUUGUUCGGAAUUACUGGGCGUAAAGCGCGUGUAGGCUGCUUCGCAAGUCGGAUGUGAAAGCCCUGGGCUCAACCCAGGAAGUGCAUUCGAAACUGCAGAGCUGGAGUCCUGGAGAGGAAGGCGGAAUUCUCGGUGUAGAGGUGAAAUUCGCAGAUAUCGAGAGGAACACCUGUGGCGAAGGCGGCCUUCUGGACAGUGACUGACGCUGAGACGCGAAAGCAUGGGGAGCGAACAGG
rnacentral:rRNA from 1 species